rnacentral:rRNA from 1 species
CGCGUAGGGUGCGAGCGUUGUCCGGAAUUAUUGGGCGUAAAGAGCUCGUAGGCGGUGUGUCGCGUCGGCCGUGAAAACCCGGGGCUCAACCCCGGGCCUGCAGUCGAUACGGGCAGACUAGAGUGCGGUAGGGGAGACUGGAAUUCCUGGUGUAGCGGUGAAAUGCGCAGAUAUCAGGAGGAACACCGGUGGCGAAGGCGGGUCUCUGGGCAGUAACUGACGCUGAGGAGCGAAAGCGUGGGGAGCGAACAGG